UACGGGGGGGGCAAGCGUUGUUCGGAAUUACUGGGCGUAAAGCGUGCGCAGGCGGUUUUGUAAGUCUGUCGUGAAAGCCCCGGGCUCAACCUGGGAAUUGCGAUGGAGACUGCAAGGCUUGAAUCUGGCAGAGGGGGGUAGAAUUCCACGUGUAGCAGUGAAAUGCGUAGAGAUGUGGAGGAACACCGAUGGCGAAGGCAGCCCCCUGGGUCAAGAUUGGCGCUCAUGCACGAAAGCGUGGGGAGCAAACAGG
rnacentral:rRNA from 1 species